CCUACGGGGGGCUGCAGUCGAGAAUUUUUCUCAAUGGGGGAAACCCUGAAGGAGCGACGCCGCGUGGGGGAUGAAUGGCUUCGGCCCGUAAACCCCUGUCAUUUGCGAUCAAACCUUACGACCUAACACGUCGUAAGCUGAUAGUAGCGGAAGAGGAAGGGACGGCUAACUCUGUGCCAGCAGCCGCGGUAAUACAGAGGUCCCAAGCGUUGUUCGGAUUCACUGGGCGUAAAGGGUGCGUAGGCGGUCGGGUAAGUCUGACGUGAAAUCUUCAAGCUCAACUUGGAAACUGCGUCGGAUACUAUUCGGCUAGAGGAAUGGAGGGGAGACUGGAAUACUUGGUGUAGCAGUGAAAUGCGUAGAUAUCAAGUGGAACACCAGUGGCGAAGGCGAGUCUCUGGACAUUUCCUGACGCUGAGGCACGAAAGCCAGGGGAGCAAACGGGAUUAGAUACCCCGGUAGUC
rnacentral:rRNA from 1 species